ACUCCUACGGGAGGCAGCAGUAGGGAAUCUUCCACAAUGGGCGCAAGCCUGAUGGAGCAACACCGCGUGAGUGAAGAAGGGUUUCGGCUCGUAAAGCUCUGUUGUUAAAGAAGAACACGUAUGAGAGUAACUGUUCAUACGUUGACGGUAUUUAACCAGAAAGUCACGGCUAACUACGUGCCAGCAGCCGCGGUAAUACGUAGGUGGCAAACGUUAUCCGGAUUUAUUGGGCGUAAAGAGAGUGCAGGCGGUUUUCUAAGUCUGAUGUGAAAGCCUUCGGCUUAACCGGAGAAGUGCAUCGGAAACUGGAUAACUUGAGUGCAGAAGAGGGUAGUGGAACUCCAUGUGUAGCGGUGGAAUGCGUAGAUAUAUGGAAGAACACCAGUGGCGAAGGCGGCUACCUGGUCUGCAACUGACGCUGAGACUCGAAAGCAUGGGUAGCGAACAGGAUUAGAUACCCUGGUAGGAUAGCG
rnacentral:rRNA from 1 species